rnacentral:rRNA from 1 species
AGAGUUUGAUCCUGGCUCAGAUUGAACGCUGGCGGCAUGCUUUACACAUGCAAGUCGAACGGUAACAGGCCGCAAGGUGCUGACGAGUGGCGAACGGGUGAGUAAUGUAUCGGAACGUGCCCAGUCGUGGGGGAUAACGCAGCGAAAGCUGCGCUAAUACCGCAUACGAUCUAUGGAUGAAAGCGGGGGACCGUAAGGCCUCGCGCGAUUGGAGCGGCCGAUAUCAGAUUAGGUAGUUGGUGGGGUAAAGGCUCACCAAGCCAACGAUCUGUAGCUGGUCUGAGAGGACGACCAGCCACACUGGGACUGAGACACGGCCCAGAUUCCUACGGGAGGCAGCAGUGGGGAAUUUUGGACAAUGGGCGCAAGCCUGAUCCAGCAAUGCCGCGUGCAGGAAGAAGGCCUUCGGGUUGUAAACUGCUUUUGUACGGAACGAAACGGUCCUGGUUAAUACCUGGGGCUAAUGACGGUACCGUAAGAAUAGCCC